rnacentral:rRNA from 1 species
UACGUAGGGGGCAAGCGUUGUCCGGAUUUAUUGGGCGUAAAGAGCGUGUAGGCGGUUUGGUAGGUCCGUUGUGAAAACUCGAGGCUCAACCUCGAGACGGCCGGCCGGAAACCAUCAGGCUAGAGUCCGGAAGAGGAGAGUGGAAUUCCGUGGUGUAGCGGGUGAAAUGCGCAGAGUAUCAGGAAGAACACCCGUGGCUAAGGCGGCGUCUCUAGUACGGUACUGACGCUGAGACGCGAAAGCGUGGGGAGCGAACAGG